AUUGAACGCUGGCGGCAGGCCUAACACAUGCAAGUCGAGCGGAUGAAGGGAGCUUGCUCCUGGAUUCAGCGGCGGACGGGUGAGUAAUGCCUAGGAAUCUGCCUGGUAGUGGGGGAUAACGUCCGGAAACGGGCGCUAAUACCGCAUACGUCCUGAGGGUGAAAGUGGGGGAUCUUCGGACCUCACGCUAUCAGAUGAGCCUAGGUCGGAUUAGCUAGUUGGUAGGGUAAAGGCCUACCAAGGCGACGAUCCGUAACUGGUCUGAGAGGAUGAUCAGUCACACUGGAACUGAGACACGGUCCAGACUCCUACGGGAGGCAGCAGUGGGGAAUAUUGGACAAUGGGCGAAAGCCUGAUCCAGCCAUGCCGCGUGUGUGAAGAAGGUCUUCGGAUUGUAAAGCACUUUAAGUUGGGAGGAAGGGCAGUAAGUUAAUACCUUGCUGUUUUGACGUUACCAACAGAAUAAGCACCGGCUAACUUCGUG
rnacentral:rRNA from 1 species